CUGUAUAAUGCAGUUCCAGAAUGCAACUUAAUUGCACUAAACUGGAUAAUAUGAGUCUACACUGCCACAUAACCCAGUUCAAUGAAAUUGCAUGAUAUGGAAACGUAGAUUCAGCCGCAGUUACCCUAAAAUAAGCAGACGAUGUGAUGAUCAAAAGAUUUCAUUUUUUCAAUAAUUUUACAAUGAUUUUUUACUCAGAAAUACAGAAUGAAAACAAAAACAACACCAAGAAAACAGUUUUUCAUCAUGUCUAAAAUUAAAGUACGACAACUAACACAACUAUAUUUAGGACAGUCAUAUAAUCAAAUUCACACUAUUAAACAUGUUUUAAAUAUACGUCGCCUGUUGAUUUUGACUUCUUAAUUUUUGCUCUAUACACACACACACACACACACAUACAUAUACAAUCCUUAAAGGAGGCUCCAUUACAUUACCAGGCUGCCUCAGGCCAUCCCAGUUAGGGCCAGCUGCACCCAAUGUCUGGGCCUGGCUGCCAGCUGGGUGUUGCAUGACUGCUGCCCUUGGGGUUUGUUUGUAUGUGUAAAGGAAUAAAAAAUAAGAAUGUAUGUUUUUCACCAGCAGCUUCCACCUUCCGGAGGCGAAGGUGGAAGGUAGGAAGGGAGACAAAGCACACACACCCUUCCAUUGUUUGCUUAGGCACCAACAUGCGCCUCGUGAAUCAGCUUCCAAGCCGGAGGGAAACCGGGCACUCAAGGAGCAGAAAGGAUUCAUUCUGAUUUCCUUUGAAUUCUUUGGCAGACACCACUUCCUUUCUGCAGUCAAGAGAUCGUAAAUACUUAGGGUAAGACUCUUGAUCAAAACCAGAGAAGAAAUAAUUACACACUGGUGUUGUUGGACUCGUGAUAGUGUGCUUUUCAUUCAGCAUGGCUGUUUUACUUGGUUUAAAAAAAAAAUCUUGCUAUUUAUUUCCUUGCUUGAAAGAGAGGGGAAAAAACAAGGAGGUGACAUGUUUAUUGCCAAUGAACAUCAUUACAAAACACUCAUUUUAGACCAAGUUUCUGAGCUUUGUUUUCGUAAUUCACUGAAGGAAGGGUGAAAAUAUAUAAACCAAUAACAAUUGUUUAGAAAUUAAAAUUCUCUCGUUCAAAAUAGUAAAAUCUAACAAAAAGUAAACAGGUCAUAGUGUCUUUGCAGUUUAAAUAUACUUUCAAGUCAACAAUACUUCAAAAUAAUCAAAUAAAAGAAAAAAACAAACAAACAAAUCACAACAUCUUUGCAAUUUAAAUACACUUUCAAGCCAACAAUUUCCAGCCAAGUCUUGAGAUAAAAUUUCAGUUAAACCAAUAUGUGGAUUUUAACACCCCUGCUGCCAUAAUUUAUUUUGUUUUAAUAUGUGUAGGUUUCAAAUGUCACUUUUCUCUCUACAUAUCCUGAGGUGGACAACAGGUGGUCUUCCAGAUAUUGUUGUUCCACAAUUCCCAUCAUUCCUCACCAUUGGCCAAGGCUGAUGUAAGUUGUAGCUAACUUCUUCCCCAUCCUAAGGCAGUGUCUCUAUGGAGUUUUUCCCACAUCCCUUCCUUUCUUGGAGAUUUUUUGGUCUCCUAGGCUUCUUUUCCCACCCUUUCCUUGACUUGUUUUUUUUAGCUCUUCCUAUAUUCCUCUAUCUUGUGUUUCUACAUCAAUCUCUUUUUCCUCCUUCCUUGAUUUGUGUUUUUUUCAAAGGUAUUUUUCUCCAUUAAGCUUCUACUGCUUCCUCCAUCCUUGCUUAUGCUGUUGAUGAUAUGCCUUCAAAUCGUUGCCAACUUAUGGUAAACCUAAGGCUAUCAUGGCGAUUUUUUUGGCAAGAUUGGUUCAACGGGGAUUUGUCAUUGCCUUCCUCUGAGGCUGAGAGAGCAUAACAUAUCAAAGGUUAAUGAAUGAAUCUCUAUGAGGAAUGGACGUUUGAACUCAUAGACUCUAUUUCAAUAUAUACCACACUGGAGCAUAUUUGCUUAUACUACAAAAUACUUAAGAUUUAUCACACCAUAACAAAAGAAGCACCAGUGAGCCUUACUUCCAAGGAAACACACAUAAGCUAGAGCUGGUUGCUAUACAACAGGAAUGGGAACUGUGCAGCUCUUCUGAUUGCUUGUGCUUGUUAAGUCUCUAAAGACUUGCUGUCUAACAAUAUGUGGAAGGCCACACAAUUCUCAUUCAUGCUUUGGUGCAUUAACUCUCAUUCAAAAAUUGUUGUUUGGUGCCAUCAAGAGACAUUUCCAACUUAAGGUGUUUUCUUGACAAAAUUUGUUGAUAGGUGUAAUGAAGUAAGGUGACAGGGAAUGGAAUCCCUUUUGAAUCCCACCGCUGCCACCAAAUUGUACAGAACUGAGGGUGACAGGGAAUGGAAUCCCUUUUGAAUCCCACCGCUGCCACCAAAUAUGUACAGAGGUGAGGUGUCUGACAGGAAUGUGUGACAGAGAUGGAAUCCCUCUGAUCCUACACACACACACAGAUACCACCAAUUAAUAAAGAUGUUUUAUGAGAGAUGAUGUUAAUUAAUUAUUUGUUUGACUAUCUUCUUCGCUGUCACCAAAUGGAGGAGACGUCAGGCAGAUGGCACUGGUUCUUUUAAGCUUUCUCUAUUUGUUCCACUUCAGAUGUUGAUGUUGUUUAACUUAAUUUAAGAGUAUGACAGAGGCUUGGUUAGAAUAAAAUCAAAACAAGUUUAUUGCAGGUACAGAGCUUGAUGGUUUCAUAUAACUUGUUAAAGGCACUUCGCUUAAUGGUUACAAACGGAUAUGAGGUGGUCAAACUUUCAAAAUAUUUCUUUCUCUGGAUUACACUAAACCCUGACCCUCCUGGAUCCCCUGGGAUUAAUUUUCCCUAAUCUACAGGCUCUAUAAAUGACCCUAGACAAGUCACCUAACUUGCCUAGUCUGGUCCAACCUAAAUCUGACUCAAAUCCUUCUAUUUAAGCCAGCCUGAUUCUCCUCAGAAGAAUCAGUUCCUCCACUGUGACUAGAAAAUCACAGACUGCCUAAAACAAUUCUCUUUAUUUUAGACCUGACUCAAACUCUUCUAUUUGAGCUACCCUGAUCCUCUACACAAGAAUCAGUUCCUUCCCUGUGAAUGGAAAUCACAGACUGCCUGGGUUUUUAAAUAUUCCCCCUUUUCCUUUCCAGGCGGCGGUUGGCUCCGCCCCUGUUGCUAGGGUAACCUGUUCUAGCAUUCUAAGAUGGCUACCUUCCCCCACACAUCAUCAAUUCAAAUACUCAUCAUUUUAAACUUUAGCCAAACCUGACUGUUUAAACAAAAUCAAAUACACAUGUCAUCUAUAAACAAAAUAUAAUUAUACACUUCUUUACAAUAGGCAAUUUACUUUUCCUUUGCUCUGAGGCUAAGAGAGUACGACUUAUCCAAGUUAGACAGUGGGUUUCCAUGGCUA
ensembl:lncRNA